AUUGAACGCUGGCGGCAUGCCUUACACAUGCAAGUCGAGCGGGGUGAUGGUGCUUGCACUAUCACUUAGCGGCGGACGGGUGAGUAAUGCUUAGGAAUCUGCCUAUUAGUGGGGGACAACAUCUCGAAAGGGAUGCUAAUACCGCAUACGUCCUACGGGAGAAAGCAGGGGAUCACUUGUGACCUUGCGCUAAUAGAUGAGCCUAAGUCGGAUUAGCUAGUUGGUGGGGUAAAGGCCUACCAAGGCGACGAUCUGUAGCGGGUCUGAGAGGAUGAUCCGCCACAUUGGGACUGAGACACGGCCCAGACUCCUACGGGAGGCAGCAGUGGGGAAUAUUGGACAAUGGGGGGAACCCUGAUCCAGCCAUGCCGCGUGUGUGAAGAAGGCCUUAUGGUUGUAAAGCACUUUAAGCGAGGAGGAGGCUCUUUUGGUUAAUACCCAAGAUGAGUGGACGUUACUCGCAGAAUAAGCACCGGCUAACUCUGUGCCAGCAGCCGCGGUAA
rnacentral:rRNA from 1 species